rnacentral:sRNA from 1 species
UAUCUCUCUGUACAGGGAAGGAUGAGAAGCUUCGAUUAAGGUUCGAUUCGAGCGCAGCGAGAAAGCGUUGCCGCAGGCAACGACCCGAAGGGUGAGGAGCGGAGCGACGAAUCAUCCUUCCCCCACCACCA